CAACGUUUGGUGAAUAUUGAUCACUUUGUUGGUACAAUUUGAAAAUAUUUAACCAACUCAUAUGCGUUGAGUUGGUCAACGCUUAAACUACCAUUAGUUGGGUAACUGUAUCUAUUUAUUGGGUAACUAGUUUAAGCCCAACUGAGAUGGUUGAUGCCACCCUAGAUGUUGGGACUUUGGGGAAAAUUGACACCAUCUCUUGGUGAAAAUAUUUUGCCGUUAUUUAUUGACCAACAGAUGGUCUACUGUUCUCCAUCCUAUUGGGUGAAAUGCCUAUAGGUUUAAAUUACCCAACCGAGAUGGUUGAUGCCACCCUACUUGUUGGGACUGUGGAACAAAUCUAUACCAUCUCUUGGUGAAAAUAAUUGGCCGUUAUUUAUUGACCAACGGAUGAUCUGUUGUUCUCCAUCCUAUUGGGUGAACUGUAGACUUAGGCCUACCCAACAACCGAGAUGGUUAAUGCAUCCUUACUUGUUUGGGAGUGUGGAACAAACUUACACCAUCUGUUGGUGAAAAUGGCCGUUAUUUAUUGACCAACGGAUCUCCAUUCUAUUGGGUGAACUGUCUGUUGGUUCAUAUAACCCAACCGAAAUGGCCUCCCAAGUUGUUGGGAUAGACUUACAACAUUAUUAUGUGAGACUAAAAUCUAUAAGUAAUAUAAUAAUAAUCAAAGCACUUAUUAUUAGCGUUCUUAUGCAAAGGUAUCGCAACGCUUUACAUUAAUGUAUUAUAAUGAUUGUGGUAAUUACAUUUUAUAGUGCGGCCACGAUAACUUGGAUGUGUUCCAAAAAAUAAGUAAAUAUCUUCUCUACGAGAUGGGAAAAUCUCGAAUUUUUGCACUUUUUAAGUGUUUUUUUUAACCAUCAGAUUGGGAGACUGCAGUGGAAAAUUCCAAUGCCAUCACACAGCGUGCCAAACAAAGCGCGCGACGCGCUUUGCCGCCGACUAGCUGGUGUUAAAAAUAAAAGCAAAGCCGUACGUAUAAUGUACUUGUGUAGCACUAGUAGAAUGGAGGCGGUCAUGGUGGACAAGUCAGUUGGUGAGUUACUAGAAUCAUGGGGAGUAGGACAUCUGUUGAAUGUUUUUGAAGAGAAUCAGAUAGACAAAGCAGCUUUGGAGUUGCUUGACGAGGCAUCAAUACAAGAACUGAUACCAAAGAUUGGCACCCGACUCAAAUUUCUAAGAGGUUGGAGAUCGGAAUUGAGAAGAAUAAUUUAGCACUUCUAGUUCUGCCGGUACUACUUGGAGGAAGGGCUAAAGGCAAGUCUGGUGGACGGUGUGCUUUAGCACAGAGCUUGACAUCUUUCAUCCACCUCAAACCGGUUACAACCAACAUCGAGCAGUAUCUGGGGAACAUCAGUGAGAAGGACAAACCACAGCCCUACAUACUUGGCCUCUUUACUGGGAACAAGUUGCUGCCAAGCCAGACAUUUGUGGUAAUUGAAAGGCGUGCAGUGGAGUCUUCUUCAUUGCUUGAUGCAGUAGACAUUGCUUUUAAGGCGCAUUAUGUGCUAAAUCUCAGUUAUCAAGUGUCUGUUAAGGCAGUCUAGGAAUUUUUGCAGUGUGUUGUUUACAACCUGCCAGGAACCGCUCGCCCAGCAGUGCGCGAUAUCAGAGCUUUUCUGAUGAAUCACACAAAAAAUUCUGCUCAAAAGUAAUGAAAAGCACUUCUUUGGUUUUCAAAGACUAAUGGACGCCAAAUUUCUGUAAUUUUCAAGUUCCUUGUUCUCUAAAAAUGUUCAGUUAUCUCAGGAAUAAUUUAUCAGGCUGAUUUAAAUCUAAACGUUUACCAACUUCAGUAGUCUGAUGUUUUCAAUCAGUUUUUUUUUUUAAGAUUCAGGAUCAUUUAAGUUUCAGGAUCUCAUGACAAAUAUAUAAGUUAAAUUCAUUACAAGUUUGUUUUCAUUUUUUGUUUUUUAUACAUCAGUUUAAAAAAAUAAUGGACCCCAAAUUUCUGUAGUCUUGUUCUCCAAAAAUGUUACUGGUUCUAUAAAGAUGGGUAUGAUGUCGCAAAAGUUGGAUUGCUCAUAUAAGCUUCAAUUUGGUAUUAUACAAAUAACAUUGUUUGGAGGAUUGUUAGAUGAUAUUAGUUCCCCAAGGAAGUUGACAAACUACCAAGUACUUCAUCAACUUCCAACCCAUAAAAACAUGUUAUUAUUAUUUUUAUUAUACCUCAUACAUAUUCAGUGACAAUAACAACGUCGUGUUUAUCACUACUGGUUCGAACAUUCUUUAGCAAAACAACAUUGUAAAAACUCAUCCAAUUCAGUCACUGUAUACUGCUCCACAACUUUCACUUCAGUAUUUGUUUAAUACCAAAGUAGUGCAAGCUAACUUGAAUUACUUUUUGAAAUGAUAAAGCAUCUUUAUUAUCCUAGUAAGCCUAUUUCCAUAAUUUAUAACAAAAUGCUUGGAAAAUGCUUUUUUUUGCAAGUGUACAUGGCCAAAAACACUAGCAUUACUUCCUUUAGAGGAUAUGAUAGUCUUUACAGUAUGAGCAUGCGCACUUGCCACAUCCAAUCUUUUUCACAAAUAUUAAAUCAUCUCAGGAAUAAUUUAUCAGAAUGAUUUAAAUUUAAAGUUUUACAAACUUCAAUAAUCUGCUGCAAUUAGUUUGUUUCUGAUGAUGUACCAAUCAUUUGAGUGUAAGGAUCUCAUACCAGUAUAAUAGUUAAUUGUUGUCAUGUUUAUCAAAAGAGUGUAUCAUUAUAGUUUGUUUAAAAGGCAGAUUUUCUGUGCUAGCAAAGUAAGUGAGAAAUCCUUCAUUACCUGAAGUGUGUACACGCACAAGUAGAAUAGUCUUUGCUAACCCAUAAUUAUGCUUACACAGGCAUAGAAUAUUCGUCUAGUGUAAUUGCCAGUAUUUUGAUUAAUGACGGUAAGCAGUGUCAUUAAAUUGGGCUCUGUCUUCACAGUUAAUCUAAUCGAUGGCAUAAGAUUCCUCAUAUAUAUGCAAGUAGUUUUAAACUGAACAGGUAUGUUUUUACUCUUGCCUGCUUUGUUCGUUUGUACAGAGAAGGAUUUUAUCCAAAUUGGUUUGGUGUUUAAGAGCUCGAGAUUGACCAUAUAUUUUGUUAUCAAAGAAAGUUAUUAUGUAUAAUUUUGUUAAAAAAUGUCAUACAAGACUUAUUAAAACUCUUGUAAAUGA